GACGAACCGAGCGAACGUUGUUCGGAAUCACUGGGCUUAAAGGGCGCGUAGGCGGGCUGCCGCGUCCGGGGUGAAAUCCUCCGGCUCAACCGGGGAAGGGCCUCGGAUACGGGCGGCCUGGAGUGGGGUAGGGGCGUGCGGAACUGUGGGUGGAGCGGUGAAAUGCGUUGAGAUCGUGAGGAACGCCCGCGGCGAAAGCGGGACUCCUGGGCCCCGCCUGACGCUGAGACGCGAAAGCCAGGGGAGCGAACGGG
rnacentral:rRNA from 1 species